AUACUUACCUGGCAUGGGAGAUACCAUAAUCAUGAAGGUUGUUUUCCCAGGGCAAGGCUGGCUUCUCCGUUGCACUCCAGUUGUGCUGACCCGCAUGAUUUACCCAAAUGCAGAAAACUCGACUGCAUAAUUUGUGGUAGUGGGGGACUGCAUUCGCUCUGUCCCCUG